rnacentral:rRNA from 1 species
UCGGGAAUCUUGCACAAUGGGCGAAAGCCUGAUGCAGCAACGCCGUGUGGGCGAGGAAGGUCUUCGGAUCGUAAAGCCCUGUUGUUGGGGACGAAGGGCGAAGGGUUAAUAGCCCCUAGCCUGACGGUACCCUUCGAGGAAGCCCCGGCUAACUACGUGCCAGCAGCCGCGGUAAUACGUAGGGGGCGAGCGUUGUCCGGAAUUAUUGGGCGUAAAGAGCGUGUAGGCGGCCCGGUAAGUCUGCCGUGAAAACCUGGGGCUCAACCCCGGGCGUGCGGUGGAUACUGCUGGGCUAGAGGAUGGUAGAGGCGAGUGGAAUUCCCGGUGUAGCGGUGAAAUGCGCAGAGAUCGGGAGGAACACCCAGGGGGAAACCAGCAUACUGGACAGGACCUGACACUCAGGUGCGACAGCGUG